AAAAGGUGUUUUUGCAGAUGCGAUUGGGGUUAAGCACCUCCAGCUAGCGAGAUGAUGCUGGCUUAUCUGGGUGGGCCUGGCCCCCUGGCAACUGCUGAUCUUUUUACAGGCUUCUCAGUUUGCCAGAAUGUCACAGUCAGAGUCGCACAGUAGGCAGCCUUAAGAAUCAGCGUGUUGAAACACACAAGAGCGUUGAGCUCAGACGUAAGGGCCGUGCUGAGCACAGCGAACGGCAGAGAGAAUCAGAACAGUGCAAGGAGGGCCUUCUGGCUUCCCCAAACUCCACGGAAGUCUCGAUUCGCAUCCUGGGGCUGCUCCUACUUCCCUUUUCUCAGGGUCUGCGCUCCCUCCCUGGAACAGCUGGGCCCAGGUCUCCCUCCAGGGAGCGUUCGGACGGAGCACGGCCACCCACCAUCAUGACUAAAGAUCAAAAAGAGCAAAACAGAACAAGACCUCAGGUCUCCGGACCAUUUCCCCCUUCAGAGGCGGAGAGCAGCACAUCAAAACCAGAAGAUGAGCCAGAAGGGAUCGGCUACCCUCAGGGGUUCCUGAUGACAAACUCUGGUUUCUGGGGAUCUCACCUGUGCCUGGGGGGCCCCGGGCACUGUGCUGAGCAAGAUGCAAAGAGCCCCAAGUCCCACCCACCCAGAGAGUGCAGCUGGGAGGUGGGUGUGCAGAGUGGAAGCCGCGAGCCACCGGAGACAGAAGAGUGCGAAUCGAGAUGGGCUUGCAUGUGAAACACUCAGCAGAGGUCACAGAUUUGGGACCGGAAACAAGCGGAAUGUCUCUCACCGGCGACUCUUCAAUUCUGGAUUUUCAUGCGAAAGUGAUAGCAUCUGGCUUUUAUUUGGGUUAAAUAAAAUAUUUGAUUACAUUAAUUUCUCUCA
ensembl:lncRNA